GUUGAAUAAAAAAGCACAUGAAAUAAAAAAGAGAAUAAAGUGAAGAAAAAAAAUUGUAUGAUUUCCAUAAGAAAAUAAUUUCUGAAAGCGUCGGUUUUUAUGCUCUCUCCCGGCAAGAUCCGUCGGCGUCUUCCCUCAUUUCCUUCUUCGUUAGCUUCUGUGAUUCAAGAAAAUAUUUUGAUAAAUAGGGAUUCAAUGAUAGCCCUCUUUUUCGCCUAAAACCCAACACAUUUUAUAUUCCAACAUCUACAAUACGACCAUAUAUUGGCACAAAAUCUGGUAAAAGGAGACACAAAAAGGCUACCUUUUUUCUUAGAUUUCAAAACUCAAAACCCAUUUUAAGUUAGUCUUAGUUUUCGAGUGUGGGGUUUUUAAUAUAAUCCCCCCCCCCCCCCCCC
rnacentral:lncRNA from 1 species